UACGAAGGGGGCUAGCGUUGUUCGGAAUUACUGGGCGUAAAGCGCACGUAGGCGGAUUCUUAAGUCUGGGGUGAAAGCCCGGAGCUCAACUCCGGAACUGCCUUGGAUACUGGGAGUCUCGAGGAUGGAAGAGGUCAGUGGAAUGCCGAGUGUAGAGGUGAAAUUCGUAGAUAUUCGGCGGAACACCAGUGGCGAAGGCGACUGGCUGGUCCAUUUCUGACGCUGAGGUGAGAAAGUGUGGGGAGCAAACAGG
rnacentral:rRNA from 1 species